CGGAUCGGAGUCUGCAACCCGACUCCGUGAAGCUGGAUUCGCUGUAAUCGCGCAUCAGCCAUGGCGCGGUGAAUACGUUCCCGGGCCUUGUACACACCGCCCGUCAAGCCAUGGAAGCCGGGGGCGCUUGAAGUGCGUUGCCGCAAGGCGCGCCCUAGAGCGAAACCGGUGACUGGGGCUAAGUCGUAACAAGGUACC
rnacentral:rRNA from 1 species